AUGGAUGAGCAAGGAGCUCUGGGCAAAACUCAGCCAGAAGAAGGAAGUGUACAGAAGGUGGAAGCAGGGACAGGUAACCUGGGAGGAAUACAGGAGUGUUGUCUGAGUAUGCAGGCAUGGAGCUGGGAAGGCCAAGGCCCAUCCGGAGUUGAAUCUGGCAAGGGAUGUCAAGGACAACAAGAAGGGCUCUGUAAAUACAUGAGCAAAAAAAGGAAGACUAGGGGAAACGCAGGCCCGCUGCUGAAUGGGGCAGGGACCCUGCUGACAAAGGAUGCAGAGAAGGCAGAGUUCCUGAAUGCCUUCUUUGCUUCAGUCUUUACUGCUGAGACCAGCCCUCAGGAAUCCCAGACCCUGGAGGCAAGAGAGAAAGUCAGGAGAAAGGAAGACUUUCCCUUGGUGGAGGAGGAUCCAACUAGGGAUCWGUUAAGCAAAMUGGACAGCCACAAGUCCAUAGGACCUGAUGGGAUGCACCCACAAGUGCCGAGGGAGCUGGCCCAUGUCACUGCAAGGCCACUCUCCAUCACCUUUGAAAGGUCAUGGAGAACAGGAGAGGUGCCCGAGGACUGGAAGAAAGCAAGUGUCACUCCAGUCUUCAAAAAGGGCAAGGAGGAGGACCCGGGGAAUUACAGGCCAGYCAGCCUCACCUCGGUCCCUGGAAAGGUGAGGGAGCGGAUCAUCCUGGAGGCCAUCUCCAAGCACAUGAAGGACAAGAGGGUGAUCAGGAGUAGUCAGCAUGGACUCACCAAGGGGGAAUCAUGCUUAACUAACCURACAGCCUUCCACGAUGGGAUGUCUGGCUGGGUAGAUGAGGGGAGAGCAGUGGAUGUUGUCUACCUUGACUUCAGCAAGGCUUUUGACACUGUCUCCCACAACAUCCUCAUAGGCAAGCUCAGGAAGUGUGGGCUAGAUGAGUGGACAGGGAGGUGGACUGAGAACUGGCUGAAAGGCAGAGCUCAGAGGCUUGUCACUAGUGGCACAAAGUCUAGUUGGAGGCCUGUGGUCAGCACACUGUCCCCCCAGGGGGAGGGGGGGGGGAAAAGAGGAAAGAAAGUUUCCUACUUCAUCCUCAUCCUGGUAAAAAUAGUGUGGGAUACAAUGCGGAGUGCAGAUGGUCAAGGCACACCAAUCACAUUAUUCUCCAUUGCUUUAAUUUUCCACAUCCCUUCCUUGCAUUUUGAUAGAAAGAAAAAGCCCAGCUGCCUAUAUAUAUUUCAUAGAAAGAAUGUAUAUUCAUACAUAUAA
rnacentral:lncRNA from 1 species